rnacentral:lncRNA from 1 species
AUUUUAGUUUUUAUUUUAUUUUUUAUUUUUUUAAAAAAAAUUUAUUCCAAUCUGUUCUGGUUUAUAUACCCAAGUGUUUGUUAUAAAUAAUAACUCAUCAUAAAUGGUCUAGUGGAGAGAGGGCAGUUUCAUGGUCUUUAGUGGAGUGGGUUCAAUACCCAUAUAUAGCAUUUUAUUUCUUUUAGCAUUCAUUUUUUUUCAUGUUUAUGUUUUAGUAUAAUUUCUCCCAUACUCAUAGUUUCAUUAUUAUUUAAUAACCCAAAUUUGGUUUCUUUUAAUUUCAUCAUCCAUUCAAAACCGCUUUAAACUAUUAGAAUCACACUUUUCUUGAUUCAAUGUCGAGCCCAUUUCCAUACCCUUGUAAGUCGAUUGCUUUUUAAGCAUCGCCAUCAAUCUCACAUAGUUUACUCUUGG